AAAUCACAUGUACUUCUAUUUGAUACUACAACUCUUUAAUAAAAUUGUCGAUCUCUUCAGAUUUCUCUCUUUUAAUAUCUUUUCUGUGUGUUUUCUAUAAUUCUCAGCCAUCUUUGUUAGCGUAAGUUAUUUAAUUCUUAUGGGCUCCCAUAGAUCUAUCUAUAUGUUUGGGUUUUCUCCCCUUUCUCUUAACAAAAAUUAUGAAUCCUUUUUCUUCUUAAUUUUAAAUUUUACUAAUCAUGUUUGUUAAGUUGGUAAGUUUUCUCCCAUGUUCUUGCUUUACUUCUGUAUUUUCUUAAUUUGAAGUUUUAUUAAUUUUUUCGACGUUGGUUUCUCUGUUCUUUUGAAUAAUUUCUUGUUAGAUUUUCUACAAGCAUGUCUGAAUUUGAUAUGCAGGUUCGAAAAGAAAUACCUAGGUGCACAUUCUUUGUUUCUAAUUUUGGUGUUUUUAUUCUAGUUGAGAAAAAUGAGACCUUUAGUGUGAAAAUAUUAUUAUGAAAUAGUUGCUCAGGAACAAACCAAAUUAUCCAAUAUAUUUAGGAUGUUAAGAACUACCGGUACAGGAAAUCGUGGGAAAAUGCUUUCUUUUGGCAAUAUCAAAGAAGCAUUAUUACGGGAUCUGUAUGGGUCAAAACUUGACUCAUGAUAAUUAAUAAGAUUAAUUAUUUCAUAAGCAUAUUUGGGCUAACAAAUGGCGUAACUAUUCGCUAAUAAUAAGCACUCGAAGAUCACUCAGCACAAUUAAUGAGGCCAUGGCCUAUCCAUUAUUGGCGGGCGUCCCCUAAACAUGACCACGGCCGUACAACGCUAGCGAGCAAGGUACACAGCUAUAAAUACUAAGAAAAAGAACCCUAAAGGGGGGAGGGGGGGGGGACUGCUUCUUCUCCUUCACCUCCACUUCUAAAAGAAGAAAAUAUCAUUGUAAGGCUUUGAACCUCUCCAUGGAGAGGCAGACCAAACCGAUCUCAUCAAUAAAAGAUCUUUA
rnacentral:lncRNA from 1 species